GCCGCGGCGCCGGCGCUCGGAGCAGGGGGGCACGCCUUCAAAAAAUAAUUAAAAAUCGAGGAAAUACCCCAGCAAAGCCCUUUUGGCGUGAAAACCCCCCAGAGGAUCCAGGCUCCCUGGCACGCGGGUUUCGGGGGCUGCAGCGGGCUGCAUCUCGACCCCCGGGGCUGCGGAUCCCGCGGGGGAAACUCGCAGCGGCUGAGAGCCGCGGCGGGAGUGUCCGGCGGCGGCCCACAGGCGCAGAGCUGGGGACGUGGUGACCACCGGGCAAGGACCGGGGCCCGGGGGGCUCCGGCUGCCAGCCGAGGGGCGCCCCGCAUUCCGCCUCAAGGACACACACACACACACACACACCUCCUCCUCCUCCUCCUCCCCCCGACCCUACCCCGCCCAAGCCUCCGCAGCGAGGAAGCUGGGAAGCCAAACUGCUUCAACGUGUCGUUUAUCUCCUUUGUUCCACAAAACAUCAGAUGGCGACUUUAAUGGCCUAACCCCAAAAAGAUAACUCCACAGCCAUCAAGCGUUUAACAGUGUUCCAAAUAACCUCUCGCCGGAGCCCGCCUUCUCUGGGGCCAUGUGGAUGUCAGAUACACACAAUUUGAGUCACGCUGACAUAGCUGGGAUGCCUGGAUUGUGAUGGAAUCUGGGGGGUACCACUCACGGGCUGGAGAGAAGCCAUAGGGCCGGCUGGAGAAAACAAUGCCAGAGCGCUCACCAUCUCUGCAGGAGGGGGGUGUUGAUGGCGAGGGGGUGACAGUCGCAGCGGAGAGGGAGGACGGCAACUCCACCUCAGGAUGGGUGCAUAUUUGUGAUGCUGGGCCAGGGGAAGAUGGAAUCCAAGGGCAUGGGCCAGAGGCCAUGCCCUUCUUUUCCUGACCGCUCCCUUCCCCACCCCACCCCCAUCUGCCCCAGCCAGAAAAAUUAAGAAGGUACAAGAAUUUCCCCCAAAGACGGUGAGUACAAUGCCCUGCUCUCUUCAAAGGAGUGAGAGAUCCCAAGUUAAUGAUAAUGGCCAAAAUGUACUAAGCAAUCCCAUCUAACUUAUAUGGGGUUCGUUUAAUUCAUUUAAUUCUCACAGCUGUGUGAGAAGGUAAUUUUUCACUAUUCCCAUUUUAUGAAAGAGGAAACUGAGGUUGAGGGGAGAUUAGGAAACUUGCCUAAUGAUGUGGCGCAGCAGGUAAAACCUCCACCUGUGACGCCAGCAUCCCAUAUGGGCGCCGGUUCGAGUCCCAGCUGUUCCACUUCCCAUCCAGCUCCCUGCUAAUGGCCUGGGAAAGCAGUAGAAGAUGGUCCGGGUGCUUGGGCCCCUGCACGCACAUGGGAGACCUGGAAGAAACUCCUGGCUCCUGGUUUCGGAUCGGCACAGCUCCUGCUGUGGCAGCCAUUUGGGAAGUGAACCAGGAGAUGGAAGACCUCUCUGUCUCUCCCUCUCUCUCUCUCUCUGGAACUCUGCCUUUCAAAUAAUAAAAACAAUAAAUAAAUAAACGCCCACAUCACACAAUGAGUAAGUGACAGAACUGAAACUUGAGGCACAGUCUUUCAAAACCAAAGCCAAGGCUCUUGGCCACUACACUCACUACGCUACCCCGUGGCUGCUUCACACCACAGCCACCCUCCCAGACGGUGGAGUGCUGGGUGCCGAGCCAGGGCAGAGCAUUCUAAAACAGAUUCUAUCCAAACAUGCCGUUCCUUCCGCACUAGUUGACCACAGUGAUUGCGAUGUGCAGGACCCCGGGCUAGGCACGUGAGGGGACACGAGCACGAGGAUGGCCCAGGCACAGCGGCUGCCCAGGAGGAGGCUGUGGGCUGGAGGCCGGCCUGCAGGUCUUCAUAGAUCUCAGAUGAGCUUGGCCAUUUUUUUUCAAUAGCCGGGGCUUGGUUGCUUUCUUCCUCUCUUGUUCCUUCUUCCUUCCUUCCUUCCUUCCUUCCUUCCUUCCUUCCUUCCUUCCUUUCUUUCUUUCUUUCUUUCUUUCUUUCUUUAAUUUAUUUUAUUUAUUUGAAAGGCAGUGACAGGAGUGGGGGGACAUAAGAUUUUUUCCAUUAGCUGAUUCACCCUCCAAGUGGCUGCAGCAGCUGGGGCUGGACCAGGCUGAACCAGGAGUCUGGAACUCCAUCUGGGCCUCUCAAGUGGGUGGUAGAGUCCAAGUACUUUGGUCAUCUUCCGUUGCCUUCCCAGGUGUGUUAGCAGGGAGCUGGAUCGCAAACCAAGCAACCAGGACUGAACCAGUGCUCAUACGGGAUGCUGGCAUUGCAGGCAGCAUCGUUAACCUGCUGUGCCACAAUGCUGACUUCCCCUCUCUCUUUCUUCCUCUCCUUUCUUUCAAAGUUGUUCUUCCUUUUUUAAAAGAACAAGCCUUUUCUAACUUCCUUUAUGUCAAAUACUGUGCUAAAUCAUUAACGUAAAACUACUAGUGGGGUGGGUAUUUGGUGCAGUGGUUAAGACACUGCUCGGGGGGCCAGCGCCGUGGCUCACUUGGUUAAUCCUCUGCCUGCGGCGCCAGCAUCCCACAUGGGCACCGGGUUCUAGUCCUGGUUGCUCCUCUUCCAGUCCAGCUCUCUGCUAUGGCCCAGGAGUACAGUGGAGGAUGGCCCAAGUGCUUGGGCCCUGCACCCCAUGGGAGACCAGGAAGAAGCACCUGGCUCCUGGCUUUGGAUCAGCGCAGCGCCAGCCGUAGCGGCCAUUUGGGGGGUGAACCAAUGGAAGGAAGACCUCUUACUGUCUAAUUCUGCCUGUCAAAAACAAACAAACAAACAAACAAACAAAAAAAAAAACACUAGCACUCAUCCCCUUAUUUGAUCCCCUGCAGUCUAAGGUGGUAGACACCAUUCUGCUCCCCACUUUUAGAAGACAAAGCAGCAGAAAGACAAGUUACUCGAUGCCUCCGAAAUCUGCCUGAUUCAAUAUCCUACACUGUAAAAUUAAUAAGAACACACCCGAAUAUUGUUGAAGGCAGUGUUUUCCACACCUCUUCGAGCCACACUGUGAUAAAGAUGACCACUGUUGUACAGACUGGGACACCAGGGCACAGAGAGGUUGUGCAGUUUUCCUGAGCUCACCCAGCAGGUAAGUGGCAGAGCUGGCAUUGUGCUGUCUUGUUACUUCCACUUCAGAGUAAAAUAAGGAGACAUUGCUCGGUUCUCGCUUUGUGUCUCGCUUGACCUCUCCUGGUGGCCCCGGGUGGGUUGCCAGGGUAUCGAAAGUAGAGUGUCCAAGCUGGGUGAGGACAGCCACUGCACUGCAGGCGUGGAGAAUGCAGGGUGGUGGACGGCGGCCACAAGCCUGGGGCGCUGCCAGGCCGGGCCUCCAAGCCCAUGGGUGGGUUGGCGGCCCCAGGGCUAAGCGUGCACGGAGGAGAGUGGCGGCUUCAAGGGCCCAGCAGAGGAAGCCCCAAGGAAGGGGGAGCGCAGCCUCAGCCCUCCGACGUGAGAAGGGCUGUUCUGUGCACCUGGGGACUUCGGUGGCAGCUCUCCCAAGAGCCAGCGUGAAACAGUGUUUGGGGGGGGGUUCAGAGGGACAGUGGGGAAUGUAUCCCCAGCAUUGCAUGGCACUCACUCAGUCCUGGACAGGGGGGCACAGGCGUGGCCUCGGGGAAGAAGGGAUGCCCCCGAGGGCUGCCCGUUGGCCCUCUGGGUUCCUGUCCAUCUGCAAAGCCGUGGUACCAGCGCUGCUUCGGCUGUGACGCCCUGACGCACUGACCACGCCCCGCCCCCACACAGAACUCACAGUUCUGGCCAGGGGACAGAAAGCACAGGUGCCCUGAGGUUGAGACCAGCAUUCACGCAGAGCAGGGGGGCCUGGGGUGCUGAGGUCACUGGGGUGUGGGAGCCUCAAACACCCUGGAAAUGGGCCUGGUGGGUCCCAGUCCCUCCGUGACACUCACACUCCAUUCUUACAGCCCCUGUGCCCUCUCUGCUAUUCACUUGUCGUUGUACUGAGCAUCUCGGGGCACCUCCCUGGUAUGGGGGCUCCUGGUGUUGGGAGCUGCUUGCGUUUCUCAAAUGCUCAGACAGCCUUUCGCCCUAACAUCCUACAAGUCGGUGUUGCUUUCAUCACUGUAUUACCAUGAAGGAAAGAGAGGCCCAAGGUCACAGGGGCUCAGGAGCAAGUUGGGGGCUGGACACAGUGUUGGGACCCUAGCCGGAGGUGUCUGGCUUGUCGCUCCACAAGAAAGAACUCAGGGACCUUCUUGCUGUUUGUAUCUCUCCUAGCUUCUAACAAGGGUCCACACGGAGCAGCUGCUCAAGAAACCAAGGUUUAUUUUUUAUUUUUUUAAAAAGAUUUUUAUUUAUUUAUUUGAGAAGUAGAGUUACAGAGAAUGAGAGGGAGAGACAGAGAAAGGUCUUCAUCCACUGGUUCACUCCCCAACUGGCCGCAAUGGCCAGAGCUGUGUCACUCCAAAGCCAGGAGCCAGGUGCUUCUUCCUGGUCUCCCACGUGGGUGCAGGGGCCCAAGGACUUGGAUCAUCUUCUACUGCCUUCCCAGGCCACAGCAGAGAUUGGAAGACGAGCAACCAGAACUAGAACUCCAAAGUUUAUUGACUUCCAAACAUGUCACUCAGUUUUACUGACUUGCUGGUUUUCUUUUUUUGUUUGUUUGUUUUUGUUGUUGUUGUGGUGGUUUUGUUUUUUGUUUUUUGUUUGUUUGUUUUUGGUUUUGGUUUUUUUUUUUUUUUUGUCAAUAGUAAACUAGGAUGCUCUUGAGAAGACUAAAUGCUGUUGAAUCUUUGCUGUAGAUCACACGAGGUACUUCUUAAAAGAUGUGAAAGAGAUUUGCAGGCCGUAGCCUAGGAAGUUGUAUUCCAAGUCUUUAGGGCAGCAAAAGAAUAAAAAUGUGAGUUGGGAAAAUGGGAUCCAUGGAGACCACUCAUUUCAGUAAAAGCUUGAUACAGGGCCGGUGCUGUGGCCUAGCGGGUAAAUCUGCCGCCUGGAGUACGGCAUCCCAUAUAUGCUGGUUCGAGUCUCGGCAGCUCCACUUCCGAUCCAGCUCUCUGCUGUGGCCUGGAAAAGCAGAAGAUGGCCCAAAUGCUUGGGCUCCUGCGCCCACAUGGGAAACCCAGAAGAAGCUCCUGGCUCCUGACUUCAGAUCAGCCAUUACGGCCAAUUGGGGAGUGAACCAGCAGAUAGAAGACCUCUCUCUCUCUCUCUCUCUCUCUCUCUCUCUCUCUCUGCCUCUCCUUCUCUCUCUGUGUAACUCUUUCAAAUAAAUAAAUAAAUAUUAAAAAAAAAAGACAGUGAAAAGAGAAUCACAGAAUGAGAGAAAAUAUUUAUUAAAAAAAAGCUUGAUUCAUCCAAUCAGAACCUAUUUUAACUUGGAGAUUUGGAGAAGUUCCCACAGUGGAAGAGAGAACAUACCAUCAACAUAAAACUGGCUCGGUGAUGCUGCCCCUUGCAGGAGUGGCAUUUGGCCUGGCAGUGAAAACACCGGUUAGGACAGCUGCACCCCGCAUUGGCCUGCCUGGGUUCGGUGUGCGGCUCAGCUCCUGACUCCUGUCUCCUGAUGGAGGCUCCAGGAAGCAGCGGUGAUGACCACAGUAACUGGGGCCUUGUCACUCGCAUGGGAGACCCGGAUUUGAUUUCUGACUCCUGGCUUCAGCCUAGCUCCUGUUGUUGUGGGCAUUUGCGGGGCGUGAACCAGCAGCUGGCAAUGUGUCUCCUUCUAUCUCUGGCCCUCAAUAAACACAUUUAAAUAAUAUUAAUGUUUUUAAAACUGAAGAGUUCAGUAGAAAGCAAACAGAAGGAACCUUGCACACACUGCCAGAGCGUUCACGUGGACUUGAUGCCCUCCAUCUACGUCUUCAGUCCUGGGCCGUGAGGCCUGGCACCCAGUGGUGGUCUCCAGCCAGAUCCCUGUGAGACCACCCGGAAGGGUGUGUUCCUUGCACUAUGCUUGCUAAGAUAGCGAAGUGGGCUCCUAUUUUUGAGAGAAAUCUCCUGAUUUUUCGAGAAACAUAAAGGACUUUUCCCCCCUCAAGUUAUUAUUCAGCUCCUAACAGUGGGGUUUGGAAGAACUUCUCCAAAUUCUCCAAGUUCGGGUCAGUUGACCUUCUACUGUAACAAGCAAAUCUGAAGCCGCAGAUGAAUUGGGGAACAAAACACUGGCUCUUAGCUAGGCAUUCUCUUGGUGCUUCUAGAAAUCGCACUUCUGCUGCAUUUGAAUGAUUUCACUGAGUUGAAGGUGAGAUUUAUACACAAGGGCGCUUCAAGAAGUUGGUGGGUAUGCUCCGGCUUCGCUUCAGAUCAUGUAAAUCUUUUGCCUUUUACAAAAAUUUGGUGGAAAAUGAAAUCAAGUGAUAAAUUUUUUGGUAAAACCAUUAUCUACAAGGGGUCUUUGGAAUGGCCGUAGAAAAUGCGGAUUAUUGGAGCCAGUGCUGUGGCAUAGCUGGUAAAGUCACCACCUGCAGUGCUGGCAUCCCAUAUGGGCGCUGGUUCGAGUCCCAGCUGCUCCACUUCCCAUCCGGCUCUCUGCUAUGGCCUGGGAAAGCAGUAGAAGAUGGCCCAAGUCCUUGGGCCCCUGCAUUCACAUGGGAGACCCGGAAGAAGCUCCUGGCUCCUGAUCAGUGUAGUUCCGGCCAUUGCAGCCAAAUGGGGAGUGAACCAGCGGAUGGAAGACCUCUCUCUCUCUCUCUCUCUCUCUCUGUCUCUCUCUCUCUCUUUCUGCCUCUCCUUCCCUCUCUAUGUAACUCUGACUUUCAAAUAAAUAAAUAAAUAACUCUUAAAAAAUGCGUAUUAUGAAAAAAAAAACUAUGCAUGGGUUUCAACAUCUUUUGGCACCAAAAUAAACUUGUCUUUUAAUUCUAAUUUUCCAUGAACUUUUUGAAGCCCUUCCUAUUCAAUUCAGAAAGUCCGGUAAAAAGUACCCGCUUGUUUAAGACUCCUAAAAGCUGCACUCUGCUAACACUGUGGAGGUGGUCAGCGGGUCCCUGCAGAUGUCCACUUCCCAGCUAUCUCCAGGUACUGUGCAUCUUCCUGUGCCCCAGACAUUGUGCCCUCCUGAGCAGGCCUCUCCACUGGGACCUCCGCUGCCGUCACAGCUGCUUCCCCAUUGCUUCCCUUCCUCGGUUUUGUUAGGGUUGCUUUCCCCUUUUGGUACAGAAAAUGUUCAAACAUAAAAGUAGGAGAUAUCCUAUCACUGCCAGGGAUCCUAUCACACCCACUCAUCAGCUUCUACAAUUUUUAACGUCGUGUAUGGCCAAUCUUCUUUGAUACCUAACCAAUCAUAGCCUUCCCACCCCCUCCCCUCCCCUCCCCUCCCCUCCCCACGCCUGCUCAGAUGACUUUAAAGCAAGUCCAAAGCCAGGCCGUUUCAUCUAUAAAGACUCCACGGGCACCUGUGUAGGGAGCCUUUGGUCCAUGCAUCCACCAGGUUACUGAAAAAGCGCAUGGGAGGGGCGGACAUGGGUGCAGCGGUGUAGACGCCUCUUGGGAUGCUUGUGUCCCGUACUGGAGAGCCUGCUUUGGAGUCCUGGCUUCUCUUCUGAUUCCAGCUUCCUGCUAGGGCAGCGUCCUGGGAAGCAACAGCGAUGGCUCCAGCGUUUGGGCCUCUGCCACCCAUGUGGGACACCCAGAUGGAGUUUCUGGCUCCUGGCUUCUACCUGGCCCAGCCCCAACUUCAACUGUUGCAGGCAUUUUGGGAGUGAAGCAGCAAGUGAAAGCUCUCUCUCUCAUCUUUCAAUUAAGGAAGAAAGUAAAGCAAAUGUAAUUUUACAGAAUUUGUGUUUGACUAGUGUUUGAGUAGUGGCUGAGACGCGGUGUCCCGUGUGGGAGGGCCUGGGUAGUAUCCAGCUGUGGCUCCUGACACCAGCUCCCUGCUAACGCAGACCCUGGCAGGGAGCCGUGAGGCUCAAGUGACUGGGUCCCUGUCACCCCCUAGGAGACCUAGACUGAGUUCCCGGCCCAGCCCAGGUCAGUGUGCGCACUUUGGGACUGAGUCAGCAGACAGCAGUUCUCCACUUCUAUCUCGGAAAUAAAUGAUCUUUUCUCAAUUUGCUUUAUCCCUGUUUUCUUUUAGAAUUUGGCCUUCAUUUAAAUUACCUUUUAAAAACAUUCCAGUAGUCAUACAUUUCAUAAACACGGGUGUGAUUUAGCCAAGUUCUUCAUGACUCCCUUCAAUAAUACAAAGCUGGAAGUCGGUCCUGGACCCAGGACCUGUCUACCCUGCCCUGACACUGCCAAGGGCCCACGCCACACAGCCCCACCUAAGGCCUGGCCCUGCUCACUCUGUCCUGUGUUUUCAGGAGCAAUCAAAGCCCUUUUUACAAAAUAUUUCCUGGUGUUCUGUGGCCAGGGAUGGACACAGUUUUCCACUAAGCGAUUUUUUUUUUCCAGCCACACUGGCCCUUAAGAAGAUGUUACUGAAGGCUGCACGCCUACUUCAAACAUCUUUAGGGGCCCCCGGCUGGGGACUCGGGCGGGAUUGCCAGGAACCCUACAGAGAGGAGGAGCCCGAUCUUGGGGCCUGCCCUGGGCCCAGUGUUUACCCAGUCCUUGCGGAGGCCCUGUCUCGCCCGUCCCCAGACAGCGGAUUCUUGUUAGGAAGCUGCUGCUCGCCACGCCGUGCCUCGGCCCCCACUUGCUUUUCCCAUGUUUGUGUCCCUGGCGCUUUCUCCCCUUCCUUCAUUGAUUUAUUAUUUAUUUUUUUUCCCGUGCUUUCCCCCUAAGUCGUCCUGUCACUGAACAGCUGUGCUCUGAUAUUAGAUAGAAUGAUUUCUGUCCUCACAGCAGCUUCUGAACAAAAGGGUUUUAAGAGCCCUGAUAAGUGAACAGGAUCUCGAGCAAGAUGAAAUGUCACCAGCGUCUCCAACCAUGAAAAUCCCUGUGCAAAGCAGGGCCCGGCCGGGAUCUCCUCUUGGAGCCUCGGAGACUGGGCUUUUAUUUUCCCAGUCUCCCUGUCGACCCGACAUGGGAAAGUCGGGGAGAAGGUGGCCUUUGGCUGGCAUCAAGGGCCCCCCACCCCGGCUCACCUUCCCUCAGGGAGGCCCCUUGGGAAAGGCAGAGGGGGUUCUCACUCUCCGUGACCAUUAUCUUCCCCUUGCUGUCCAGGUCCCGUCUUCAGCUGGAUGCAGACACCUGCCACCACCUGGAUGCGGUGUGGAGCCCUUGAUCUUCUUUGCCUUUCUCUUCGAAGCCUGCAGUGUGGCCGCUGGUUGUUUUUUUGUUUGUUUGUUUGUUUGUUUGUUUGUUUCCCCACAGGCAGAGAGAGAGAGAGACAGAGAGAAAGGUCUUCGUUCCGUUGGUUCACCCCCACAAAUGGCCAUAGCGGCUGCGGCACUGCGCGAUCCAAAGCCAGGAGCCAGCUGCUCCACUUCAGAUCCAGCUCCCGGCUGAUGCGCCUAGGAAAGCAGCAGAAGAUGGCCCAAGUGCUUGGGCCCCUGCACCGACUUUGGAGACCCAGAGGAAGCUCCUGGCUUCUGGCUUUGGCCUGGCCCAGCCCCGGUCGUUGUGGCCAUUUGGGGAGUGAACCAGCAGAUGGAAGACCUCUCUCUCUCUCUCUCUCUCUCCCUCUCUCUC